GUUUAGGAGUCCUAAUUUUGCUUCUUUUUUCUUUUUUCAGGCUUCUUUCGCCGCCUAAAAUUUAGGAUUUCAAUCAAUUAGAAUUAUUUUUUGUACAAAUCCUUUUCUUACUUGCAUUAAAUAGCACAAUUCAAAUACCUCGCAUGUUAGCAGUCGAGAGAGGUCUUCUUCUUCUUUUCUCACCCACAUAACAUGGAGACAAAGACCUUCAUCUUGGUACUUGGAAGCACCCCGGAAGGAAGAGGCUGGGAUUGGUUUUUCGUGGCUCCUGUUCGGCUUUGAGGUAGGUUACGGUUUACCAUGUUAGUGUAACGACCUGUUAGGUUGUUUUGGUUGUUCUCUCAUUUUUGCCUAUUUUGACCUUUUGAACCCGCCCCUUUGCUUGUUUUAGAUUGUUGUGUAGUGGGUGUGGUUGGCACAAUUCCCGAGGUAGUUGAAAUCUCUUAAGUUAGAAAUUUUCUAAGUUAAAAGAAUUCUUAGGCGUUGGGCUGACUUUAAGCAUCAUCGGGGUUUUUUGUGUCAUUUUGGAAAUUUCGUUAGUUCCAUCAGCUUCGAAACGUCGAAUAUAGGCUGUUUUAGUGUUUGGUUCAGUUCCCAAAGUCCUUAGGGGCAUUUUGGUCAUUUGGUUGGGAAGUUGGUUUUUGCCCGUUCGGGUUUGACUUGGUCAACGAGACCUCUUUUGGGAAUUCCGAGUGCGAGAGUGAGUUCUUAGCGCGUUCUUACAUGUGUCAGCAUAUUUGGUUUGUGUCGGGGAGGUUCCGGGAGAGUCUCGGGAUUUCGGUUGAGAGAGUCAAAAACCAAAUUUUUUUGGUUCUGGUGUUCGCGCAGGUUUGAAGGAGGUCCCGCCCCUGCAUACUUGCUCCAGCGAGAGGAGGCCCGCAGGAGCGAAGGAUAGCUGGGUUGGCCUUAGUCCGCCCCUGCGAAAAUUUUCCCGCAGGUGCGUGUGCGCAGCCGCGAGCUGAUCUCCGCCGCUACGAGCUUGGGAUAUUUUGUGGGAGUGUGCCGUGGCGAGGUCUAUUCCGCUGGUGCGAACUUGGGUGUGCAGGUGCGCAAUUCGCUGAGCAGAAUGUGGUCCUUUUAAUGUCUUCAGAUUUUGGGAAGGAUUGUAAUAACUAUUUAAGUAUUUUUAUUUUAAGAUUGUUAAGACUUGAAAUUGACUUGUAUGCUUAUUUCCGCUUAUUUUGGGCUGUUAAAGGUUGGUGUUGGCUUACAAGUGCGGUGGGACUUGGUAAAUUGGGUCGUGACAAAUUAGUAUCAGAGCCCUAGGCUAAUCGAUCUCACUGAUACAAGGACAUUGUCUAAUAGAGUCUCGCGGAUGGGUAGGAAGAGCUACGUAUCUAUCUUUAAGAGGCUAUAGGACAUAUAGGAAAUUUUCAUUCUUUCAUUCCUCAUCGGGCGUGUUUCAUUCGAUUAAGGUUUAAACUUCAUUGUUCUAAUCUAUCACUGAUGGUGAGGACACGUUCUCGACAUGCGAGCAGCUAGAUGUGACGACGCCUGGUAUGGUUCGAGACGUGCAACCGUGAUAGGGAUAUGUGAUCAACCUCAGGUUUCAGUUAUGAUUUGAAGACUCGAUAGAGUAGGGUUAUGAAUCAGAUUCUCGGGUUUGGCGACAUCCCUAUGAAAUGGGAGUCGAGAAAGCGCAUUUAUGGUAUAUCAAGCGAUUAGAAGAGAUCAUCGAUUCUAAAAUGGUACGGUUAGCGGAAUAACCAUGUGAUAAGUGUUGUGGCUUCGAAGACUACGAUCAAAGGGUUUCAUCAUGACUUAAAGGUUUCUU